ensembl:lncRNA
GGACAUGGGCUAAAACCCCAAUUCUUUAUUUUGCCUAUAAGAUCUCACAUGAUCUGAGCUCUCCUACCAGCCUAGGAUAGGAUAUUCAGGGUAAUUUUGUUUGUACAUUUCCCCUUACUGUCUGCAGCCACACUGGCUAUGACUGUCUCAGUCAGGAUAGCCUAGGUUUUGCUUUAGUAAAAAAAAAAAAAAAAAAAAAAAAAAAAACUCCAGAUCUCAGUGACUUAAGACAAAAAGUGUUAUUUCUUGUGCCUGGUCCAUGUCCAUCAAAGGUUGGCAAGAACUCUGGUCAGUCUGCCUCCCUCUGGAACUCAGCCUGAUGGGACAACCACUUUUAGGAAUAUUAUAGAUCUCGCGGUAGAGGGAAAGGGAGCUUUAAAGGGUUUUAGUCAGACAAGUAAAGAAUGUCACAUGUCACUUCUCACAAUUAUUGGCUAAAACAGUCUCAUGGCCCCACCUAGCCACAAGUUGACCAGGAAAUGCAAUCUUAUUUGCCCGGAAGGCAGAAACCUAAUGACUCCCACACUGGACACUGGACUUCUUCAUUUCCUCAAAUAAGACAAAUUGUUUCUUGCCUGAGAAUAUUUAUAGGAGCCUUCUCAUCUCUUCCCUGUUCUUGGUCAAUUUCUAUUUCGUGGAUGUUAGCGCUAAAUGACAUUUAAAGAGGCUUUCUUUUACACCACACCUACCCCCACCUAAAUUAGAUUUCCCCUCUUAUACUUUUUCUUAAGUCCCUUUGGUCUUUCUUCAUAGCUCUUGGGAUUUUAGGAGGAUCAUAAAUGACACCUCUUUCUUUCCCUCUUGAGUUCAGAACCAGCUGAAAGUUAGAUGUAGGAAUCAGAUGAAUGGGGGUUGCAGUGUCAACUUUGUAGCUGAUUGAGGGUGGGUUGGGGGGCAUGGCAGCCAUGAGGCCACAGUGGAUUUCCUUAUGUUUCAGCCUUUGCCCACUGGUCCCUGGCAAAGGUGGGUAGUAGCAGGCCUUUUCCAAAUGGAUAGUGAGUGUAUCCAUCUGUUGGCAAAUUCAUCCUGAGAAGAGAGAGCAAAUGGCUGAGGUGGACAUGCUAGGUCAUUCUUCUGAAUUUAGCAAUCAGGUAACUCACGCCUCUUCCCAUGGGGAGCAAGUAGGGAUAGAGAAAGUGAACAAGAGGGUUACUGUAGAAAUGUACCCCUCCCCUGCCCCCCGCCCCAUGGAAACUUGAAGCCAGGGAAAUGGAGAGUACCUUAUAACCAUAGGAUUUAUCUUAAUUUGUUAUUGCAUAUUUUUUCAUGUAUUUGUUUUCAUUUGUUUUUCUAAGAUAUGUCUUGCCUGACAGAGGCCAAGCAUCCGAAGGGCAGGGGUAGGCAUAUCUUUGGGUCUUCCCUGUAUGCACAGCAUUUAGCCUGGUUCUUGGCCCCAAGAGGGUGCCCAGUAAAUCUUUGUUAGACCUCAGAGCCCCUGUGGAAGUCCUUUUCUAGGGCCACCUUUCCACAAAGUGAGUUCUUAUUUGCUUGAGACUGAGUUUCAAUUUGGGGAUGUUCCAUUCUCUUCCAUUCCCCCACCUACUUUUUUUUCUUUCUUUCUUUCUUUCUUUCUUUCUUUUUUUUUUUUUUUUAAUGUUGUCGGCAUGGAUGUAUGCGUCCACAUUGCAAGGAAAGUAAAGAGGCAGAGAUGAAGGUAAUUGAAAAACAAGUAAAUAAAUGGAUUGUGUCAUUGGAGAGUAUGUGUGGACCAGGCUUUUGUCGAGAUGGGUGUAAUAAUUGUACACCCUCCUCUCACCCCACGGUGAUGUCUUUUCAGCACUCAGAACUUCCAGAAAGCUAAUGGGAUCAAAAAGCCUUAAGGGUCCUUAAAAGCCACCUUCCAAGUCCUGGCCUUUUUCCAGUGCAGGAAUCCCUGUGACAGCAUCUUCAUGACUCUGCCUCUCAGAGGUAGGGAGUGAGGAUUCUGCUGAAUGCUGCCCGUUGGACCUCAUUGGGAGCCCUGUGGACAUGGAACUGUGGGAAGCAAUUUUGAUCAAUCUUCGAGAUCUCUGAGAAGGUCAGCCAGAUGAUGAUAAGCCGAAACGAUGUCCCAUGGAGAUGAAUUAAAGGAACUGGGAGUAUUUGACAAAGAGGAAAAAUAAAAGUUCAUGAGACCAUGCACAGAAGUCUCCAUAUAGUUGUGCAACUGUCACAUGGAGUUCAUUUAUGCUGUAGGUUUUGAAGUCAGAGUGAGGGUAAUGGUUAGAAGUUAGAGUGGGGAACUCUACUAUAUUUAAGGAAGAACUCUCUAACGUUACAGUUAUUCAUCAAUGGGAUAGUUGCCUUAAAAGUAGAAUGGAAAUUCAUCCAUUCAAUGCAUAUUUAUUGUCUACUCUAUGCCAGACAUUAUGCUGGAUUCAUUUAUGAUAAUUCCUAGUGAACCCAUAGUAACUUGGAGUAUUCAAGUUACACUUUAUUUUCAAAAUUCAUAAAAACCAUUUUAAAUAUUCUUUUGUAGAAUUUGGGAGUGGUCAUCAACAUUAGUGGCUUUGUUUCUCAAUUCUGGACCUGACCCUCCUCCCCCUUUUUUUCCCUCUCAAAAUUUGAAAGCCUGGGGUGAUAGUUUCUCAUGUCCAGUGUUAGUUAGAUGGACAUUGUUCUGUCAAAACAAGUGUUUUCAGUAGUCAUAAGUCAAAAUUGCCUAUACUUGGAAUUACGUAAGUUUAGAUAUUCCUUACUAUUUGUGGCAGAAAGAACUACAAAGUAUUCCCUGAACUCCUUUUCCUUUCUUUCUGAGCAUCCUGCCCAACUACCUUUCCCAGCCUCCUUUGUAAGAAGGUAUGGCCACAUGGCUGAGUUUUAGCCAGUGCAAAAGGCUAAAACGAUGUGUGUCACUUACAGGCCUGGCCCAUAAAACCAUCUCUCCCCCUCUUCUGGUUAAAUGUCAGGGACAUAGAGAAGGGCAGAGCCACCAACGGAAGGAGCCCGGAUCCCUGACCCUGUGGAAGACUGCCUGAUAGCCAGGCUUAUUUGCCCUGGACUUUGCCUGAAUGAGAAAUCAACUUCACUGUUGAAACACCGAGAUUUUGGAGUAUAUAUGUUAAGGCCGCGAGUGUCUUCUUAUUCCAACUGGUCCUGCAGGAUGCCCUCCAAGAGAGAAGAAAUGUGGAACCAAAGUUGGGGAUUUUGUUCUGCCCUUUCCUGUUUGAAAAGACUAGGUGGAGGAGGUGAAAGUAAAAGACAUAGCACUUAACUACCCACUGAGGCUUCCUUUUGGUCAUGUUUUCUUUCUCGAUGAAUUUAUAAACGUCAUGAGACAUAGUUCCAUGUCUUCCAUCUUCUUUUACAUUUAAUCUUUUGGUGGGCAUUUACUGAGAAAUGCCAGGUGCUUUGGGGAUUUCGGAAGAACUAUAGAUAAUGUGCAUUGUUAAAUAUUCAUUUUAUUCAAUAAUUUUUGAGAAUUGACUAUGAGCCAGCCCCUGGGAACACUGAUGAACAAAAGCUACAGUACUGGCCUACAAACUGGGGUACAGCAAGGAAAAUAGAAAUAAAGAGGUGAGACUAGUCAAGUAUGAUAAUGUGGUGAGAAAGAAGGACGGGCUGUUCUGGGUGUACAUGGAAGGGACACCUGACAAGGGUAGUGGUCAGAGAAUUGUCCUCUAUGAAGAUGACGGACAAAUGGAGACUUCAAGGAUGAGUAGGAGCAGCCCGAAAAAGAGGAGACAGUGGAGAGAGAAAGGCUGUUCUAGGAAGAGGGAAUGCAUGUACAAAGGCCUGGAUAUGCAGCUUGAAGGUGGGGGCGUGUUUGGAGGGACUAGAAGGUAAGCUGGAAAGGAAAUUGGAGUGGAUGAGCAGGAGAGGAGGAACUUGUCCUAUAGGUACGCAUGCACUUAAUAAAUGCAUCCAGAACGCCUUGUACUAUAUGUGUAUGUGUAUAGGAGAAAUAUGGCUGAUUAACCGUCAAGAUGUCAACAAUUGUGAUAUUUGGGUGACUUCUGUUUUCCUCAGUAUGCUUCUCUGUGUGUUCAAAAACUUUCUACAGUAAACGUGUAUUACACUUGGAAUUUGAAAACCCAGAGUGAGUGUGUUUUCUUCUUGGCCAUGAUUGCACCUGCCAUGCCUCUCCGGAUCCUCAGAGCAGUCCUCUGAGCACACUGAGGUCUAAGCUGAUACACAGUGAAGCUGGAAUUCGCC